rnacentral:lncRNA from 1 species
GGGAAAUCUGGAGGGGAGAUACAUGGGAAUACUUUACUUUUGCAGGUGAAACACACCUCUUGCUGCAGGAGCUGGAACAGUAGUAUAGGGUUAUGGAAGGGGCCAAGUUCUGAGCCUUGCAGAACACCUACUGAAGAACACUGAGAAGCAGAGAGGGAGCUACGGUGAUCCACCUGCUAAAAUCAACCUGACAGGUCACAUUCAGACCACACUAGAGAUGACCCUUUGAUUCCAGCUGUUCUGGAAAGGACACGAGGAUCCGAAAGUCUCGGGACCUUCCGGCUCUUGUUUUGGCUAGUUGGCUCCAGCUCGUCUUUCAUCUGUCUUUUUUUUCAGCUUGACAAGCACAUCAGGCACUUUGGUGGUGGAGCAAUAUCCCACUGGACUACAUUCCUCCCACUGGGUGGACCUUCAGAUGAGCUGUGGUUACUAUUCCAUAGGAAUGGGUCCUUGUGAAGGCAGGGCAUGAUACGGACAUCCUGGAGGUGUACACAAACCGGGGUAUAAAGGUAGGGGAGCAGGAGCUCAAGGCAGUUUGCUGACUCCACUGAGACACCAUCAUGCUGACAGUCAUUUUCUUUGCUCUGCUCCUCGCUGGGAUAGACGACGGGAUAGCUGAAGAAGGAUCGGGGGAAAUCGUCAUUGAUCCCCCAGAGAUGGGGAAGACCACCUACUCCACAAAUCCUCCAGAGACUCCUCCUCCAACAUACAAGAUCAUCUAUGACACCUUCGAAGACCUGUAUGGAGGAGAAGAGGACACAGCCCCUGCUAGACUGAGAGACAACACCCUGGCCACUUCCCGCACUGUUACCCUGCUGGACCCCUUCCGCCUUGCUUCCCUUACAAUAAAAUCUGCAUGAGCUCAACCCCGCUGCAUCCACUCUGCUUGACUCCUGUGCUUGGAGUGUGUCACUCUGGGGAAACUUCUAGAAAAGGGGUUGCGAUGUCCAUAGGCUUCUUUGUGUCAGACAAGAGCCGCUGUAAAAAAAUCAAAUAAACUGGGUUCCUGUCAAGGGGUGUGAACA